rnacentral:rRNA from 1 species
CGGGAGGCAGCAGUGGGGAAUAUUGGACAAUGGGGGCAACCCUGAUCCAGCCAUGCCGCGUGUGUGAAGAAGGCCUUUUGGUUGUAAAGCACUUUAAGCAGGGAGGAGAGGCUAAUGGUUAAUACCCAUUAGAUUAGACGUUACCUGCAGAAUAAGCACCGGCUAACUCUGUGCCAGCAGCCGCGGUAAUACAGAGGGUGCGAGCGUUAAUCGGAAUUACUGGGCGUAAAGCGAGUGUAGGUGGCUCAUUAAGUCACAUGUGAAAUCCCCGGGCUUAACCUGGGAACUGCAUGUGAUACUGGUGGUGCUAGAAUAUGUGAGAGGGAAGUAGAAUUCCAGGUGUAGCGGUGAAAUGCGUAGAGAUCUGGAGGAAUACCGAUGGCGAAGGCAGCUUCCUGGCAUAAUAUUGACACUGAGAUUCGAAAGCGUGGGUAGCAAACAGGAUUAGAUACCCUGGUAGUCCACGCCGUAAACGAUGUCUACUAGCCGUUGGGGUCCUUGAGACUUUAGUGGCGCAGUUAACGCGAUAAGUAGACCGCCUGGGGAGUACGGCCGCAAGGUUAAAACUCAAAUGAAUUGACGGGGGCCCGCACAAGCGGUGGAGCAUGUGGUUUAAUUCGAUGCAACGCGAAGAACCUUACCUGGUCUUGACAUAGUGAGAAUCUUUCAGAGAUGAGAGAGUGCCUUCGGGAAUUCACAUACAGGUGCUGCAUGGCUGUCGUCAGCUCGUGUCGUGAGAUGUUGGGUUAAGCCCCGCAACGAGCGCAACCCUCGUUCUAUGUUGCCAGCACGUGAUGGUGGGGACUCAUAGGAGACUGCCGGGGUCAACUCGGAGGAAGGUGGGGAUGACGUCAAAUCAUCAUGCCCCUUAUGACCUGGGCUACACACGUGCUACAAUGGUCGGUACAAAGGGUUGCUACCUAGCGAUAGGAUGCUAAUCUCAAAAAGCCGAUCGUAGUCCGGAUUGGAGUCUGCAACUCGACUCUAUGAAGCUGGAAUCGCUAGUAAUCGCGCAUCAGCCAUGGCGCGGUGAAUACGUUCCCGGGCCUUGUACACACCG